CAAUAGCGUAUAUUUAAGUUGCUGCAGUUAAAAAGCUCGUAGUUGGAUUUCGGGUGGGAAUGGCCGGUCCGCCGUUUCGGUGUGCACUUGCUACGCCCACCUUGCUGCCGGGGACGUGCUCUUGAGUUCACGCUCGGGACACGGAGUCGGCGAGGUUACUUUGAGUAAAUUAGAGUGUUCAAAGCAGGCCUACGCUCUGAAUACAUUAGCAUGGAAUAACACGGUAGGACUCUGGCCUAUCUUGUUGGUCUGUAGGACCGGAGUAAUGAUUAAGAGGGACAGUCGGGGGCAUUCGUAUUUCAUUGUCAGAGGUGAAAUUCUUGGAUUUAUGAAAGACGAACUACUGCGAAAGCAUUUGCCAAGGAUGUUUUCAUUAA
rnacentral:rRNA from 1 species